rnacentral:rRNA from 1 species
CCUACGGGAGGCAGCAGUAGGGAAUCUUCCACAAUGGGCGAAAGCCUGAUGGAGCAACGCCGCGUGGGUGAUGAAGGUCCUCGGAUCGUAAAACUCUGUUGUUAGAGAAGAAAGUGCGUGAGAGUAACUGUUUACGUUUCGACGCUAUCUAACCAGAAAGCCACGGCUAACUACGUGCCAGCAGCCGCGGUAAUACGUAGGUGGCAUGCGUUAUCUGGAUUUAUUGGGGGUAAAGGGAACGCAGGCGGUCUUUUAAGUCUGAUGUGAAAGCUUUCGGCUUAACCGGAGUAGUGCAUUUGAAACUGGGGGACUUGAGUGCAGAAGAGGAAGGAGGAAGUCGAGGUGUAGCGGUGAAAUGCGUAGAUAUCACGAAGAACUCCGGUUGCGAAGGCAGCUUACUGGUCUGUAACUGACGUUGAUGUUCGAAAGCGUGGGUAUCAAACAGGAUUAGAUACCCCAGUAGUC